rnacentral:lncRNA from 1 species
CUUACUUAUAUGUGAUGUAAAGGUUCAAGUUUGGGGUUGCAUGGGGGAAAUUGAAAGGCAAUUGAAAAGCAUUGAGCUCAAAAGUUGUGAAAGAAAAAUACAUGAGAAAAAGAAAAGAUAAGAAGAAAAAGCAUGAAGAUGGGCUCAAUGCAAAAGAAAAAAAAAAGUUGGGAAUGAGUGAGAUUGGUGAGGAAGAGAGUUGUGCUUAAAUGUUGAAUACUAUGAUAGCUCUCUUAACUCAAGGACUUUGCUUUCCAGAAAAACCAAUUCUUCUUGUCAGCCCAGCCUCAUUACAAGCCUUGGAAAAGUCCUUUUG